UUGAGCCUACAUGAAGCAUCCCCUGGGCAGCAGGGCUGCGUGGUGGAGCAGCAGAACAUGCCUGGAAAGCAAAUCAUGAACCUUCUGACUUCACAGUCCCAAGGAUUUAGAGGCACAAGGAUGAACUGGUGCCAGCAGCAAGAUGGAGCUGAUGCCAGCAGGCCAGGGCUGCGCCAGCCUCUUCUUGCUCCACUAUCCAUGGAUUUAGCCCAGGCAAGUCACCUAGCUCCCAAGAUGGUCCUUAUCUGUGCAGGGGAACAAACUGGACUCCAGCAAUUACAGCAGCCUCCUACACACCAAAGUGAUAUGGUAUCUGCUGUGGCAGUGAGUCAGCAGUGAACUGCACAAAGGGGCUGUUCACCUCUGUUGGGCUGCGUGCAGGCCUGCUUUGGGAAGGAACUGGUUCCCUUCUCCUGCAGAGCUGCCUUGUUAAAGCAGAGCAGAAAAGGAAAGCCAAGUCAAGAGACCAGCCCAUCUCUGAACAUCCCAUGGAGCUGCAGGAGGCUGUCGAGGAAAGCCAGACCAUGACAAACGUGCACCUUCUCUCCAGAGUAGAGACUGACAGAUGAAGAUUAAUGAAAAGUAAUAU
rnacentral:lncRNA from 7 species